CCACCCAUUCACACACUAACCCACCCACUCACACACUAACCCAUUCAUUCACACACUAACUCACCCACUCGUUCACACACCCACUCAUUCACAAACUCACCUAUUCAUUAACACACUAACUCGCCCACUCACACACUAACUUGCCCACACGUUCACACACUAACUCACCCACUCAUUCACACACUAACUCAUUCACACUCAUUCACACACUAACCCGACUCAUUCACACACUAACCCACUCAUUCACACACACACCCAUUCAUUCACACUAACUCACCCACUCAUUCACACACUAACCCACUCGUUCACACACCCACUCAUUUACACACCAACUCACCCACUCGUUCACACACCCUCUCAUUCACACACUAACUCACCUACUCAUUCACACACUAACCCAUUCAUUCACACACUCACCCACUCAUUCACACACUAACUCACCCACUCGUUCACAACCCAUUCACACACUAACCCACCCAUUCAUGCACUAACCCACUCUUUCACACACCAACUCACCCACUCGUUCACACACCCACUCAUUUACACACUAACCCACUCGUUCACACACCCUCUCAUUCACACACUAACUCACCCACUCAUUCACACACUAACUCACCCAUUCACACACGAACUCACUCAUUCACACACUAACCCACCCAUUCACACACUAACCCACUGACUCAUUCACACACUAACCCACUCACACACUAACUCACCCAUUCAUUUACACACUAACCCACCCAUUCAUUCACAGUAACUCACCCACUCGUUCACACACCCACUCAUUCACACACUAACCCACUCAUUCACACACUAACUCACCCACUUGUUCACACACAUUCAAACUCGCCCACUCAUUGACACACUAACUCGCCCACUCUUUCACACUAACCCACUCACACACUAACCCACCCACUCAUUCAUUCAUACACUAACCCACUGACUCACUCACACUAACCCAUUCACACACUAACCCAUUCAUUCACACACUAACUCACCCACUCGUUCACACACCCACUCAUUCACACACUAGCCCACUCAUUCACACACCCAUUCACACACUAACUCACCCACUCAUUCACACACUAACUCCCCCACUCAUUCACAAACUCGCCCACUCGUUCACACACUAACUCACCCACUCAUUCACACACUAACCCAUUCAUUCACACAGUCACCCACUCAUUCACACACUAACUCACCCACUCGUUCACAACCCAUUCACACACUAACCCACCCAUUCAUGCACUAACCCACUCUUUCACACACCAACUCACCCACUCAUUCACACACCCACUCAUUCACACACUAACUCACCCACUCGUUCACACACCCAUUCACAAAAUCCCUCAUUCACACACUAACCCAUUCACACACUAACUCAGCCACUCGUUCACACACCCAUUCACACACUAACUCAUCGACUCAUUCACAUGCCCACUCAUUCACACAGUAACUCACCCACUCAUUCACAAACUUGCCCACUGCUUCACACACUAACUCGCCCACUCACACACUAACUUGCCCACUCGUUCACAAACUCACCCAUUCACUCACUCAUUCAUACACUAACCCACCCACUUAUUCACACACUCAUUCACACAACCCAACUUAUUCACACACUAACCCACUCAUUCACACACUAACCCACCCAUUCACAAACCCAUUCAUUCACAAACUCACCCACUCAUUCACACACCCACACACUCACCUACUCAUUCACACACUAACUCGCCCACUCAUUCACACACUAACUUGCCCACUCUUUCACUAACCCACUCAUUCACACACUCAUUCACACACUAACCCGUUCAUACACUCACCUAUUCAUUCACACACUAACCUGCCCACUCAUUCACAAACUCAUUUACACACCCACUCAUUCACACUAACCCACUCAUUCACACACUACCUCACCCAUUCACACUAACCCACUCGUUCACACACCCAUUCACACUCACCCACUCAUUUGCA
rnacentral:lncRNA from 1 species